CGUAAGGUUUCCGUAGGUGACCUGCGGAAGGAUCAUUA
rnacentral:rRNA from 1 species